rnacentral:rRNA from 1 species
GCCAAAAACCUAGCCCCCCACACACCAAAUGAACCCCCUUUCACCUCAUUUUAUAAACUAAAACAUUUUAUAACUUUAGUAAAGGAGAUUAAAAAAGUAAUAGGAGCUAUAUAAAUAGUACCGCAAGGGAAAGGUGAAAUAAAAAUGAAAUAAAUAUUAAGCACAAAAUAGUAAAGACUAAAUCUUGUACCUUUUGCAUCAUGGUUUAACAAGUUCAAUCAAGCACAAAGAAUUUUAGUUUGACUUCCCGAAACUAAGUGAGCUACUUCAGGGCAGCUUAUUGAGCGAACCCGUCUCUGUUGCAAAAGAGUGGGAAGACCCUCAAGUAGCGGUGACAGACCUAACGAACUUAGUGAUAGCUGGUUACUCAAGAAAAGGAUUUUAGUCCAGCCUAAAGUCUUCACAGUUUAACAAAACAUAAUUUUGACUUUAGAGUAAUUCAAAUAAGGUACAGCCUAUUUGAAAAAGGAUACAACCUAAACUAAUGGGUUAGACCCCAAAUUCAUAAUUAAGUGGGCCUAAAAGCAGCCACCUUUAAAAUAGCGUCAAAGCUUCAUUAUAUAAUUUAUGUUAAUUUCAUAAAACAACUCAAACCCUUUAACCCUAUUGAGUAAUUCUAUAUCUAUAUAGAACAUAUAAUGUUAAAACUAGUAACAAGAAGAAAACCCUUCUCUUAAAUGCAAAUGUAAAUCAGCAAGGACAGACCACUGAUAAUUAACACUAAUGAAAUUAUAUUAGCAACCUCGCAAGAAAACCCUAAUAAAUUACGUGUUAACCUAACACAAGAGCAUUUCAAGAAAGAUUAAAAGAAAAAGAAGGAACUCGGCAAAUAUUAACCUCGCCUGUUUACCAAAAACAUCGCCUCUUGAAAACCUAUAAGAGGUCCAGCCUGCCCAGUGACUCUGUUCAACGGCCGCGGUAUCCUAACCGUGCGAAGGUAGCGUAAUCACUUGUUCUUUAAAUGAGGACUUGUAUGAAUGGCACCACGAGGGUUAUACUGUCUCCUUUUUCCAAUCAGUGAAACUAAUCUCCCCGUGAAGAAGCGGGGAUAAGAAUAUAAGACGAGAAGACCCUAUGGAGCUUUAAACUUAACAGCAAGAACUUCUAUUUUUUUAACUUUCAGAACACAAAUCUCUAUUUUAGUACUAUGACUGUAAGUUUUAGGUUGGGGUGACCGCGGAGUAAAAACUAACCUCCACAUUGAACGGGAACUCUCCCUGAGCCAAGAGCCACGACUCUAAGCACCAACAAACUGACAUUAAUUGACCCAAUAUUUUGAUCAACGAACCAAGUUACCCUAGGGAUAACAGCGCAAUCCACUUCAAGAGCUCAUAUCGACAAGUGGGUUUACGACCUCGAUGUUGGAUCAGGGUAUCCCAGUGGUGCAGCCGCUACUAACGGUUCGUUUGUUCAACGAUUAAAACCCU